AUGGGAUGUGAGAGGGCAUUAAUUGAUGCGCAGCUAGCUAAUCAUCACCAAGAAUUGAUGAUUUUUGGGCCGAGGCCAAGAACAUCGUUUGAUGAUUUUUGGGCCUGGGGUUUUGAGAGGUCGGGCAGGUUCACAGUACGAUCAGCGUACCGUAUGCUUAUGGAUAGACAAGGUACUGCUCCAGACCAUGCUAGUAGUUCCUCACUCGGAGAACCCACCUGGAAAGCUCUUUGGAAAUUGCAAGUUCAACCAAAGAUCAGGGAGUUCUGGUGGCGAGUGUUGAAGGGUUUUCUCCGGUCUUAUGGCGAGUUACACAGAAGGCACAUUAGUGAUCACUCUAUCUGCCCUAUGUGCGGUCAUGAAGAUGAGUCUCUGUACCAUGCUCUAAUUAAGUGUGAGCAUGCUUUACUGUUCUGGAGGGAGGCAGAAGGAUUUCUUUAUUUCAAAUUGCCACAUCUACAUCCGACAACGUGGUCAAGAGAUCUAUUGGAUACCAACUUCAUAAGUAAAGACCAAGCAGCAAUUGCAAUUUCAGUCAUGUGGACCAUUUGGAGUAGCAGGAAUAAAUACACACAUGAGGAAGUAAAGUUCCAACCUUCACGGUCUAUGGAAUUGGUCCAUGAACUGAUUCAGGCAAUGCAUUUGCCAUACAUGCCGAGAUCGGGCGACUUCCUGGUAAGGGCAAAAUGGCGUCCACCGGCAGCAGGGGUCAUUAAGACAAAUACGGAUGCUGCAGCUGAUGUUAGCGAGAGGAGAUCCGCUACGGGAGUUGUUGCUCGUGAUCAUCAGGGAAGAUUUAUAAGUGGCCGAUGCUCAAAGCUCCCGGGGGUUACUGAUCCGUAUGUUGCAGAACUGCUGGCUGUGUGUGAGGCAGUGAAGCUAGCAAGAGAGAAUGACUGGCCAAACAUACUGAUUGAAACUGAUUGCCAGGUCAUUAGGGACGAAUGGAACAAGGGAGACUACGGGUCUGUUGGAGGCCUUGUAUUGAGAGAGAUCAACUUUUUCCUCUCAAAUUUCCAGGGAUAUGACAUUAUUUACACUAGAAGGGAUGCCAACGUUGUUGCGCAUCGUUGUGCGAAGGAGGGUAUAUCUAGUAGCUUAAGUGUAAUCUCUUUUGAUGUAAUCCCUGAAUUCUUGGUUGCCCUUGUGCAAUCUGAUGUAAACCGCCUUGAUGAUGAAUAA
rnacentral:rRNA from 1 species